AUGCUCUUUACACACUGCACGUCGGGUUUCAUGCCAGUCCACGCCGUCCCCGCGAGGACCCUGCAGAUCUGUUCCAUCAAAGUCACCGACGUGAAACACUUUGAGUGGCCGCUGCAGGUGUACGGCGUGGUUGCUGCCCGAGAUGAUGUGGAUGAGCACCGCAACCCCAUCUUUCUUUGUUCAAGGGAUGACUGCCAAAUCCUCAAUGAAGCGGAUCCUUUUCUAUACUUGACUGGCCCAGUUCGUGCAAUUGUGUCCCAGAAGCCCAUUGACAUCGAAAUCCAACUCAAAGUAAAGGGCACAACGGCCUCCCAAGAUAGAGCAUUGGCCAGUUGUGUCUUUUAUUAUGAUGGCGAUUAUUAUGAAGCUACUUCAAGUACGAUCAUCAUUGAAAAGCACUCUUGCACAUUAGAGUUAUGCGCCCAACAGCUUAAACGUUCAAUUCAAGCCACUAUCUUUGGUGUUCAUGUUGUUGAUUACAAGUCAAAUCCUUUUGAGCAUGGAGUCCGAGCGGUCUGCUCCUCACUAUCUCAGCAGCACGACACCCAAGACGCUGAUGAGUCCCCAUCUAUGGAAGUUGUGUUGCUUGAGUCGAAAGUUGGAACAAAGCAUGCAGUGAAACGUGGUUACCUCAAUCUGUCAAGGCAAGUAGUUUCUGUAAACUUGAGUGGAAGGCUUAAAGUUCUCAUUCAAGCAUACACACCAUCCGGAGAAAUCAUGACACAGGGUCAUAUGUCUUUGUCAUGCCCAAAACAAGCAACACCAGUCAACAUGCAUGUGACCUUGAUGGCUUCAAGGUGGAGUUUACCGUUGCUUAGUCCUUUCUUGUUCAAGAUGAGGAGCAUAUCUUGA
rnacentral:rRNA from 1 species